rnacentral:lncRNA from 1 species
UUUUCUCAACAUAUCCUCCAACAGCGUGUGGAGGAAAUUCUUCUCCCUCACCUCUAUCCAAAACCAGAAAGUUUUUAAGGGGUAACACAAAAGGUAUAAAUAAGUCCCUCUGGAAAUUUGGAAGCUUCACUUUCUGUUGUAACCCAUACCUAGAACAUUUUAAAAGACAGUGGCUGUUUUUGCCUAUUUGGAGGAACACAGGGAUGGAAACUGUAAGCAGAACAUUAUUACAAUGGAAAUGAACUACCAGGAUUUUAAACUAGAUCACAUGUGAGCAUACAUAUUAUAACCAAGUACAUGUUCUCGCCUAACAAUUACAGGAUACAAUUAAGCUUAUUCCUAUUUUUUUUUAGGCCACCAUCGUCCUAAAACCUAACUCCAAAGAAAGGAUACUUGCUGGGCAAAAGUUACUAGAGAGGAUGUCAGGAAUAUAUACAUAAAGUGAAAUGGUCGAUUUUCUUUAGACCAGUGUCAGCUUACAGGGCAAAAAUCUCAGGAACCAGUAAAUGAAGAUAAUUAUCCAAUGAGAAUCUUCUCUUCAGUAAAGGAUCCCUUUGGCUUACACUGUGCUACUUGAUAACAACUGAGGAAUGCUUUUGAUUCAAUGGGAGAGAUAUUCUGAUAAUGAAACUUUGCUGCUCCAAAUUUGCAGGAUUUAUUUUUCCUUAAUAUUGAGCAAACUGAAAAAAGUUUUGAUUGAUAGUCCAUACCUGGAAAAGACUAUACUUGAACUCACUGCCAGCCAAAGCUAUCAUAUCCUGUGAUUUGACCACCAUCCAAUUAUCAACACAGACAAAAAGAAACUGACAAAAUGGUGUCUUAAUAAACCAAUACAUCACUGUCA